GCAGUCGAGCGAACAGAUAAGGAGCUUGCUCCUUUGACGUUAGCGGCGGACGGGUGAGUAACACGUGGGUAACCUACCUAUAAGACUGGGAUAACUUCGGGAAACCGGAGCUAAUACCGGAUAACAUUUGGAACCGCAUGGUUCUAAAGUGAAAGAUGGUUUUGCUAUCACUUAUAGAUGGACCCGCGCCGUAUUAGCUAGUUGGUAAGGUAACGGCUUACCAAGGCGACGAUACGUAGCCGACCUGAGAGGGUGAUCGGCCACACUGGAACUGAGACACGGUCCAGACUCCUACGGGAGGCAGCAGUAGGGAAUCUUCCGCAAUGGGCGAAAGCCUGACGGAGCAACGCCGCGUGAGUGAUGAAGGGUUUCGGCUCGUAAAACUCUGUUAUUAGGGAAGAACAAACGUGUAAGUAACUGUGCACGUCUUGACGGUACCUAAUCAGAAAGCCACGGCUAACUACGUGCCAGCAGCCGCGGUAAUACGUAGGUGGCAAGCGUUAUCCGGAAUUAUUGGGCGUAAAGCGCGCGUAGGCGGUUUCUUAAGUCUGAUGUGAAAGCCCACGGCUCAACCGUGGAGGGUCAUUGGAAACUGGGAAACUUGAGUGCAGAAGAGGAAAGUGGAAUUCCAUGUGUAGCGGUGAAAUGCGCAGAGAUAUGGAGGAACACCAGUGGCGAAGGCGACUUUCUGGUCUGUAACUGACGCUGAUGUGCGAAAGCGUGGGGAUCAAACAGGAUUAGAUACCCUGGUAGUCCACGCCGUAAACGAUGAGUGCUAAGUGUUAGGGGGUUUCCGCCCC
rnacentral:rRNA from 1 species